GGAAUAUUGCGCAAUGGCCGAAAGGCUGACGCAGCGACGCCGCGUGGGGGAUGAAGCAUUUCGGUGUGUAAACCCCUGUUGCCCGGGACGAACAACUGGUUUCGACCAGUCUGACGGUACCGGGUGAGGAAGCACCGGCUAACCCCCUGCCCGCAGCCGCGGUAAUACGGAGGGUGCGAGCGUUGUCCGGAAUCCCUGGGCGUAAAGGGCGCGUAGGCGGUCUGCUAAGCGUGUGGUGAAAGCUCGGGGCCCAACCCCGAGUCUGCCAUGCGAACUGGUGGACUGGAGCACUGUAGAGGCAGGUGGAAUUCCGGGUGUAGCGGUGGAAUGCGUAGAGAUCCGGAAGAACACCGGUGGCGAAGGCGGCCUGCUGGGCAGUUGCUGACGCUGAGGCGCGACAGCGUGGGGAGCAAA
rnacentral:rRNA from 1 species